UACCAGCUCUCCGAGUGGUGUGGAUGUUUAUUGGGCCUAAAGCAUCCGUAGCUGGCUGGACAAGUCCCCUGUUAAAUCCACCGAUUUAAUCGUUGGAGUGCGGGGGAUACUGUUCGGCUAGGGGACGGGAGAGGCCAGACGGUAUUUUCGGGGUAGGGGUGAAAUCCUAUAAUCCCGGGAAGACCACCAGUGGCGAAGGCUGUCUGCUAGAACGCGCCCGACGGUGAGGGAUGGAAAGCUGGGGGAGCGAACCGGAUUAGAUACCCGGGUAGUCCUAGCUGUAAACGAUGCAGGCUAGGUGUUUGGGCGGCCACGCGCCGCUCUAGUGCCGCAGGGGAAGCCGUUAAGCCUGCCGCCUGGGGAUACGGCCGCAAGGCUGAAACUUAAGGAAUUGGCGGGGAGCACCACAAGGCGUGAAGCUUGCGGUUC
rnacentral:rRNA from 1 species